rnacentral:rRNA from 1 species
GAUGAACGCUGGCGGCGUGCCUAAUACAUGCAAGUCGAGCGAACGGACGAGAAGCUUGCUUUUCUGAUGUUAGCGGCGGACGGGUGAGUAACACGUGGAUAACCUACCUAUAAGACUGGGAUAACUUCGGGAAACCGGAGCUAAUACCGGAUAAUAUUUUGAACCGCAUGGUUCAAAAGUGAAAGACGGUCUUGCUGUCCAUUAUAGAUGGAUCCGCGCUGCAUUAGCUAGUUGGUAAGGUAACGGCUUACCAAGGCAACGAUGCAUAGCCGACCUGAGAGGGUGAUCGGCCACACUGGAACUGAGACACGGUCCAGACUCCUACGGGAGGCAGCAGUAGGGAAUCUUCCGCAAUGGGCGAAAGCCUGACGGAGCAAGGCCGCGUGAGUGAUGAAGGUCUUCGGAUCGUAAAACUCUGUUAUUAGGGAAGAACAUAUGUGUAAGUAACUGUGCACAUCUUGACGGUACCUAAUCAGAAAGCCACGGCUAACUACGUG